rnacentral:rRNA from 1 species
UACGGGGGGGGGCAAGCGUUGUUCGGAAUUACUGGGCGUAAAGGGCUCGUAGGCGGCCAACUAAGUCGGAUGUGAAAUCCCCAGGCUCAACUUGGGAACUGCAUCCGAUACUGGAUGGCUUGAAUUCGGGAGAGGGAUGCAGAAUUCCAGGUGUAGCGGUGAAAAUGCGUAGAUAUCUGGAGGAAUACCGGUGGCGAAGGCGGCAUCCUGGACCGACAUUGACGCUGAGGAGCGAAAGCUAGGGGAGCAAACGGGG